GAAAUGCGAUAAGUAGUGUGAAUUGCAGAAUUCAGUGAAUCAUCGAAUCUUUGAACGCACAUUGCGCCCCUCGGCAUUCCGUGGGGCAUGCCUGUUCGAGCGUCAUCUACACCCUCAAGCUCUGCUUGGUGUUGGGCGUCUGUCCCGCCUCCGCGCGCGGACUCGCCCCAAAUGCAUUGGCAGCGGUUCCUUGCCCCCCUCUUUGCGCAGCACAUUGCCAUUCGAGGCGGCGGCGGCCCGCGUCCAACAAGCUCAACCCCCCCGUCUUUGACCUCGGAUCAGGUAGGGAUACCCGCUGAACGUAAGC
rnacentral:misc_RNA from 1 species